AGUGAACGCUGGCGGUAGGCCUAACACAUGCAAGUCGAACGGCAGCACAGUAAGGGCUUGCUCUUACGGGUGGCGAGUGGCGGACGGGUGAGGAAUACAUCGGAAUCUACUUUUUCGUGGGGGAUAACGUAGGGAAACUUACGCUAAUACCGCAUACGACCUACGGGUGAAAGCAGGGGAUCUUCGGACCUUGCGCGAUUGAAUGAGCCGAUGUCGGAUUAGCUAGUUGGCGGGGUAAAGGCCCACCAAGGCGACGAUCCGUAGCUGGUCUGAGAGGAUGAUCAGCCACACUGGAACUGAGACACGGUCCAGACUCCUACGGGAGGCAGCAGUGGGGAAUAUUGGACAAUGGGCGCAGGCCUGAUCCAGCCAUACCGCGUGGGUGAAGAAGGCCUUCGGGUUGUAAAGCCCUUUUGUUGGGAAAGAAAAGCAGCAGGUUAAUACCCCGCUGUUCUGACGGUACCCAAAGAAUAAGCACCGGCUAACUUCGUG
rnacentral:rRNA from 1 species